UACUCGGAUAACUGUGGCAAUUCUAGAGCUAAUACGCGCAAUAAAGCUCGGACCUUUCGGGAAGAGCGCAUUUAUUAGACCAAAACCAAUCGGGCUUCGGCCUGAGCUGUGGUGACUCUGAAUAACUAAGCUGAUCGCACGGUCUUAGUACCGGCGACGCAUUUUUCAAAUGUCUGCCUUAUCAACUUUCGAUGGUAGUUUAUGUGCCUACCAUGGUUGUAACGGGUAACGGAGAAUAAGGGUUCGACUCCGGAGAGGGAGCCUGAGAAACGGCUACCACAUCCAAGGAAGGCAGCAGGCGCGCAAAUUACCCACUCUCGGAACGAGGAGGUAGUGACGAAAAAUAACGCCUCAAGUGGUCUAAGAGGCCCUGCCAUCGGAAU
rnacentral:rRNA from 1 species